ACAGUAGGCCGGUUUGUCGCUGGCUGUCGCAAGGCAGAAAGAGGAAAGUCCGGGCAACACAGAGCAUUGUAUUUCUUAAUGGGAAGCUGUUCGCGAGGGCAGAGUAAGGUAACAGAAAACAACCGCCUCUAACGGGGUAAGGGUGAAAAGGUGAGGUAAGAGCUCACCGGUCUGUGUAGUAAUACACAGAGCCGUACCACUUGCAAGUUGUAAGACCAUGUAUACCGGCGCAUGUAGGGCUGCUCGUCCGAUGUCGGGGGGUAGGUCGCUAGAGCCCGUUGGUGACAGCGGGUGUAGAUAAAUGACAAACACCUUUCGGGGUACAGAACCCGGCUUAUAGGCUUACUGUUUUA
rnacentral:RNase_P_RNA from 1 species